AGUGUAGAUGAGACACUCGUUCAGACAAUCACAAACAUGUCAGUCUCCGUCUGAGCCUGCGGGCCUGAAAAUCACACUACAAACUCCAGCCUCAAAACAGGACGAAAAAUAAGGCUUAGUUUCUGCAGGAACAGAACAGUAGGAGUGUAAGUGUGAAAGGAAAGAUAAAAUGAGUUUAUAAAACAGGCUCAGGCAAUCUGAGUGGAUCUGAGCUGUGCUGCUGAACAGUAAUGAGAAGAUGCUCAGAAAGACAUUUAUAUGCAGAUAUAUUCAUAGCUGCGUUAGUGUGCAAUUUCCACCCUGGUGCAUUCUUAACCUGUUGGAUCCUGCUGUGCUUUCACAACAUGAGGAGUUUUUUCUGAAACUCUCACCUGCUCUGCUACAGAUCCAAAUCUCAUACACUAGCUGCUACUUCACACGAUGGUCAAAUCUGAUCUCCUACGACUUCGUCACCAAUUUGUAACCAGAUGGUCGACGAAGGCACAGUCCAUCACGGAAAGAAGAUAUGUGGCACCCACUUUCAGCAACCCACAAAGAGCUCCACAAGGAUGUCUGGAUCGAGUUUAAUAUCAUAAUGAAAUGUAAUGUGCAAAUAAUAACAAAAAAAACUGCUUAUUGGACAAACUAGAAGAAAACACUGAGGUGUGUUUAAAUGUUUUUCCCAGUUUAUAUAGAAGAUAUAUAAAUCUUAGAUAAUAAACUUGGAUAUCUUUGUGCACUUUUCAUCUCUCUCUGUAUCUCUCUCUGACAUUCACAUAAUACCCACUGCCCUGAGGUAAUACACUCAUCUUAACUGACCAGUAACCGAACACACACACACACACACACACACACACACACACACACACACACACACACACACACACACACACACACACACACUCACAAAUGCACACACACAAAC